GAUGAACGCUGGCGGCGUGCUUAACACAUGCAAGUCGAACGGUGAAGGCGGAGCUUGCUCUGCUGGAUCAGUGGCGAACGGGUGAGUAACACGUGAGCAAUCUGCCCCUGACUCUGGGAUAAGCGCUGGAAACGGCGUCUAAUACUGGAUACGAGCUGCGAAGGCAUCUUCAGCAGCUGGAAAGAACUUCGGUCAGGGAUGAGCUCGCGGCCUAUCAGCUUGUUGGUGAGGUAACGGCUCACCAAGGCGUCGACGGGUAGCCGGCCUGAGAGGGUGACCGGCCUCACUGGGACUGGGACACGGCCCAGACUCCUACGGGAGGCAGCAGUGGGGAAUAUUGCACAAGGGGCGAAAGCCUGAUGCAGCAACGCCGCGUGAGGGACGACGGCCUUCGGGUUGUAAACCUCUUUUAGCAGGGAAGAAGCGAAAGGGACGGUACCUGCAGAAAAAGCGCCGGCUAACUACGU
rnacentral:rRNA from 1 species